UGGGAUUGACUUGUACAUGCUGCUAUAUUUAAAAUGGAUAACCAACAAGGACCUACUGUAUUAGCACAGGAAACUCUGCUCAAUAUUAUGUAACAACUUAAAUGGUAAAAGAAUUUGAAAAAGAAUAGAUGCAUGUAUAUGUAUAACUGAAUCACUUUGCUGUACACCUGACACUAACAACAUUGUUAAUCAACUAUACUCCAAUAUAAAAUAAAAAGUAAAAGAGAAAAAAAAAAGAAAAGCACUUAUUAGCCCAGCCGCUGAGGGGGCUUUCUGGGGGCUUAUUGGUAAGAACAUGAGGAGAAGCAACUGUCAGUCCGGGUAAAAGCUACCCUUUGCUAAUACCUCUUGCCUUGGUAAAGGCGACACCUUUCUUAGGUGGUGGUUGGAACAGCAGCCAGAGGAGAUCAGCCUGCCCGUGGGCACCUGCACCACUGUUCCCUAGCAACGUGCUCUAGCGGCAAUGGACUUUUAUGCUGGCAGAUGGAAGUCAGAUCUUGGUUGGCAAAGCCUUCUCUCCGGAGAAGCUAAAACUCAUAGAAAAGGUACAUCUUAACUAAGGUGUAGUUGGACUUUAUUCCUUUUAUCUCACCUUGCCUGGUACAAUAGGGUAAUUAAUCUAUCAUUUGUUUUGAGUAUGUUUAAUUUCUUUAUUGGUUUAUUAAGAGAGAUCCUGUAUUCUCUUGGCUAGUGAUAUUAUUAUAAUUCCCACAGUGAAUUUGUGUUAAAUAAAUUGCAAAGACAAAAAAAAAAAAAAGAAUUACAGAUCAGCAUCCCUCAUAAGUGAUGAGGUUGGGGGUCUUGGGGAGGGGAGAUCUUGGAGGCUGUGGUAAGUACUUCAGAUUUUUCCGCAGUCCCUAGUAAAAUCUUCAGUGCGAGCUCCUCGACAGAAUAUUAGCAAAUUGAAUGUAGCAGUAUAUAAAAAGAUACAUCAUCACCAAGUGGCUGUUUAUCCUGGGAAUACAAGACUAGUUCAACUCAAAUCACCACAUAAAUAGACUAAAGAAGAAAAAGCCACAUGAUCAUCCCAAUAGAUGCAGAAAGAACAUUUGACAAAAUUCAGUAUCCAUUCUUAAUAAAAACUCUCAGCAAAUCAGGAACUAAGGGAACUUCCUUAACCUGAUGAAGGGAAACCACAUAAAAACCUACAGCAAACCUCAAACUUAAUAGUCAAAGUCUGACUUCUUUUUUUCUAAGAUUGGGAACAAAGCAAGAAUGCCGGCUCUCACCUCUCCCUUUCAAUAUCGUACAGGAAAUCCUGGGCAGUGCGGUAAGGCAAGAAAAUGAAAUAAAAGGCAUACUGAAUGAAAAAGAAGAAAUAAAACUGUCUCUAUUCAUAGAUGACACAAUUGUCAGUGUAAAAAAAUCCCAUGGAAUGUACAAAAAACUCUCCUAGAAAUACCAAUACGUUUAACAUGCUCCUGAGGUCAACAUACAAAAAUCAACUGUAUUUCUAUAUACAACUGGGAAUUGAAUUUAAAAAACAAACAUUUACAAUAGCAGUGAAACAAAUGAAAUAUGUAUAAAUCUAGUAAAGUAAUAUGCAGGGUUUUUAUGCUGAAAACUACAAAACACUGAUGAAAAAAAGUUAAAAAAUCUAAAUAGAGAGACACACUGUGUUCAUGGGUUGGAAGACUUAAUAUUGUUAAGUCCGCCACCUAAAUUGACCUAUAGAUUCAUUGCAGUCCCAAGUAGGAAUUUCUUAGAUAUCAAGAGUCUGAUUUGAAUAUACAGAAAUGCAAAGGAAUUGGAAUCGCUAAAACAACCUUGAAAAAGAGGAAUACAGGACUUCCCUGUUGGCGCAGUAGAUAAGAAUACGCCUGCCAAUGCAGGGGACACGGCUUCAAGCCCUGGUCCAGGAAGAUCCCACAUGCCGCGGAGCAGCUAAGCUCAUGUGCCACAACUACUGAGCCUGCGCUCUAGAGCCUGCACGCCACAACUACUGAGCCCACGUGCCACAACUACUGAAGCCCGCAUGCCUAGAGCCCGUGCUCCACAACAAGAGAAGCCACCGCAAGGAGAAGCCCACACACUGCAACAAAGAAUAGCCCCCACUCGCCACAACUAGAGAAAGCCUGUGCACAGCAAUGAAGACCCAAUGCAGCCAAAAAUAAAAUUAAAACUUCUUUUAAAAAAAGAGGAAUACAUUUGGAGGACUCAUACUAGUUGGUCCUAAGACUUACUACAAAGCUAUAGUAAUCAAGACAGUGUGGCAUUGGUCAAAGAAUAGACACAUAAAUCAAUAAAUCACAACAGAGUUCAGAAAUAGACCCACACAAAUAUAGUUAAUUGAGUUGACAGAGUGCAGAGACACUUCAGUGGAGAAAGAUUCGUCUUCAAUAAAUGAUGUAGCAACAACUGGACAGCCAUGUUUUAGGAAAUGAACCUUGACCUAUACCUGUCAUCUUAUACAAAAUUUAACUCAAAACCAAACAUAGACCUAAAUGAAAAAUUAUAAAACUUUUAGAAGAAAACAGGAAAUAAAUCUUUGUGACCUUGUGUUAGGCAGAGUUCUUAGCUACAACACCAGAAGCACAAUUCAUAAAGUUAAAAAUUGAUAAAUUGAACAGCAUCAGAAUUAGAAACUUGAUCUGUGGAAUUAAGAAAAUAAAAAGACAAGCCAAAAACAGGGAGAAAAUACUUGCAAAUUAUAUAUCUGACAAAGGUUUAUAUCCAGAAUAUAUAAAGAAUCCUCAAAACAAGAAAAUAGUCAACUCAGUUUAAAAAAAUAAAGAUUUGAAAAGACAUUUCGCCAAAGUAGAUAUACAAAUGACAGAUAAGCAAAUGAAAAGAUGCUCAGUGUCAUUAGUUGUUAGGGAAAUGCACAUUAAAACCACAACGAGACAUGGAUAGACACCUAUUAAAGCGGCUUAAAAAAAAAACCCUGAACACAGCCUGACAAUAGCACAUGCUGGUGAGGAUGCAGAGCAACUGGAAUGCUCAUAUGUUAUGGGGGGAACACAGAUGAUGUGUUUCUAAAGAAGAAAAAGCCACAUGAUCAUCCCAAUAGAUGCAGAAAGAAUAUUUGACAAAAUUCAAUAUCCAUUCCUAAUAAAAACUCUCAGCAAAUUAGGAACAGAAGGGAACUUCCUUAACCUGAUGAAGGGAAACCACAUAGAAACCUAUAGCAGACCUCAAACUCAAUAGUCAAAGACUGACUUCUUUUUUUCUAAGAUUGGGAACAAAGCAAGAACGCUGGCCACUAUGGAAAACAGUUUGGUAGUUUCUUAUAAAGUUCAACAUGUUCUUAUCAUACAGAAUCCCAGUCUCACUCCUAGGUAUUUACCCAAGAUAAAUAAAAAUCUUUGUUUAUACAAAAACUUGUACAUGAAUAUUUAUAUCAACUUUAUUUGUAACAAAACUAGAAACAAUUAAAAUGUUCCUCAUCUGGGGAUGGAUGGACCAAUGUGGUAAUCCAUGCACUGCUUCUGCUCCACAGUGGGAAGGAAUGGACUGCUGAUGCCCACAGCAAACACAUGGGUCUCAGAUGCAUGCUGCUGAUUGAAAGAAGCCAGACUCAAAAGGCUGCAAAUCUUUUGCUUUAUUUAUGUGACAGUCUGGAAAAGACAGAACUAUAGGGAAAGCGUUUUGUCAGGACUUAGGGGACAUUUCCACGACAUUGGGGUAGCACAGGGGAAUCUUGGGGAGGGCAUUGGAACUGUUUUGUAUCUUGGUUGUGGUGGUGGUUACACAACUCUACGCAUGUGUCAAAACUCAGAAUUGUGAACCAAAAAGAGUGAAUCUUAAUCCGUGUAAAUUUAUAGCUGAAAAAUUUUAAGGUAAUAAAUAUUCAGAACGUAUCCUUUCCUAACGUUUGACUGUUAUCUCUGCUCCUGAGAUUACUUCCGUCUAUUGCAUCUAGUGGUGGAAACGCUUCUCUUCCUGCGCUUCUGUGCUUCUCUUCCCAGUUCCACCGUCAGGACACUGCGUGGGUAGCUGGAAAUCUGAUGUGGUGGGAGUAUUUACACCAUAGAAGUUGGGAAAUGCUACAGACCAAGGCUUAAUUUAUUGUUUCGUUGAUUGUCUAGACUUGAGAAGGUGAUGAUGAAAACGUUAAUGCCAAUUAAACUUAAAGUGUGUCAUCUAUACAUAGCACAAAAAAUUGAGGAAAUUGUCUUACAGUAUUUGACAACUAGUACUGAUUCAGCAAAGAGGUCACUCACUGACAAACAAGUAAAAUUCUCACACAUAUAUUUCUGUUGUUUUACUUCCGUACUCCUUAAGGUAAACAAAAAUAUCAACCAAUAUUCAUGUCAGAGCUAGACUGUUGGCUGCAACCAUAGGUUGGCUAUGGAUGCAAGAGUUCAGCAAAAAUCAAAGCCUCAGUGGAAUUUAAAGAAUAUUGCAUAUUUUGUUAUUUGGGAAUUGUGUGCUAUAAUUCCUUUAUAGGAGUAAAAUGUAUAACGAAAUGUAUGGUUAUAUAUGCAGUCUCUCUCAACCCCACCCUGAAAAGCUGGUUGUUGCACAUUAUCCAGCAAACCACUGCUUAGGAAUCACUGGAAACAAGGAAGAGAAGAGGACCAAGGUCAGAGGCCUGGACCAGCUCAACAUUAGAGAUCAAGAGAAAGAGCUGGUAAAGGAUAUCAGGAGCAGGGGAGCUGGCCAGGCCUCACCGGAGGAGGUGUCAUGGAGGGAGAUGAUACUGAGGGUCACCGCUGCCCUGGCUGAGAAGCAAGAAGCCUCAGGAUGCUGAGGGGAGACAGUUCUCUUGGCGGUAGCCAAGGGGCAGGAGCAAAUCCCCCCAAGGACAUGGUGAGAUCAUUCACUCUGGUGGGAGGCAGCUGCCAUGGGAAGGCCCACCUGGCACGAACCGAAGCCUUCUGCCCACCUGCCACGUGAAAGAGCCUGGAAUUGGACCCUCCAGCUCACAAGCCUCCAGAGACUGCAGCCUCGUAAGAGACCCUGAGUCAGAACCACCCACUAAGCUGCCCCUGGAUUCCUGACCUUCAGCAACUGUGAGGUGAUAAUUGUUGUCUUAGCUGCUAAGUUUUAGGCCAGUUUGUUACACACUAAUAGAAAUUAAUGCAGCGAUGAGGGCUUAGACCAGGUGAUGGCAAGCGGAACUGGUGAGAAAUAGUUGGACCCAGCAUGUAUUUCAAAGGGAAGAAUCUGGACAGGUCCAGUUUGAGAUACUUACGGAGACAUUCAAGUGGAGACUUCAGGAAGCACGCAGUUAUAAAAGUCUAGUUCUGGGAGAAGUUGGCAUUUGGAUGGUAUUUAAAGUCAGGAGUCUGGCUAAGAUCAGGAAUCAGCAGAAACAGAGAAGAGGCCCAGGGGUUGAGCCCUGGGACAGCGCAACUUAGAACAACUAGGAAGAGGAGGAGAAGGAGCUCCCAGUAAGGAAGACAGGAAACGAGGGCGAGGUGCUCUGGAGGACAGGGGAGGAGCUGUCAGGAGGGAGGGCGUGUUCACCUGGGCCGCUGAUAGGGUGAGGACAGUAAGAUGGAAUGGAGGAUGGUGAUAGGAUGGUGGGGCAGAGAGCUGACUGGAUGGCAGGGACGGAAGUGAGGAAGAGGAGACAAGGACUACACACAUUUCUUUAGGGAGUUUUGCUUAAGUGGGGAUGUUGGCUAGGAAAGGACAUGGGGUUGAGGAGGCUGGGUAUCUUUAAGGCAGCCGUUACCAUGGUAUGGUUGCAAACUAAUGGGGAUGAUUCAGCAGAGAGGGGGUGACAUCCAGGGAAAUAUCAAGGAUGCCUCCGAGGUUCUGACCUGCACCUUGAAGCACGGACAUGUGAAUUCCCAUUGUGGGCAUGGCCUUCCCUGCUGGGCUGGCACGGAAGCUGCAAGGAGGUGCGGCCCUCAGCCUAGAGCCAUAGGCAUGGUCUCCUCACUGGGCAGUACCGUCCAGGGAACGAGGGACAGCGGGAGGGCCCAGAGCACUGCAGAUGCUGCAGGCAAAUCCAGGAGAUGUUUAAUGUAAAACUAGACUCCACUGGAAGGCAAAGAAAAGGACUCUGGCCCCUUAGACUUGGUUUCAUUUUGGACUUUAUUGGGAAAAGUUAGUGUAAAAAACAUUCAAAUUCAUAAAAUUUAAAUAAGAAAGUAAAAUUAUACCUUGUAGCUAUAGUAAUCACAAAUAAGGUAAGUCUAAAUUACUGCCUAAGCAAACACUAUUUUGUCAGGCUUCUCUUAUAAGCCCAAGGCAGGAAACACUGCAAUUAUUAGAAGUGAGCCCAAUGAUGAAUUUGCAUUGCAUUUGAAGCUGAAGAAAGGGAAAAAAGCAUGUUCUGGUUACAGCAUCACAACAUUCUAGCCUGAAAAAAGCAACUUUAUUCAUGUCCUGCAGCAGAGUACAUUAGUUAUUGUAACCAUGCAUUAAAAUUCUCACAUCAUAAAGAGAGUAAUCAGUUUUCUUCAUGAUACAUUUAUGUUUGACUCAGUUUCAUGUUGUUUGUCCCUCUGAAGACCUUUCUGGGAAUGUUCCUUUUUCCAGGGCCUCCUAAGAUGCCCAGGUUGCUUACUCUGGGUCAUCUUUGGUCAUUUAAUACCAGUCGAACUGGUGGAAGCCCUCUCCAUGAACCAGGGUGGAGUCAGACCCCCCCCCCUUCUCUCAAACCCUACAGCUGCCACCACUAGGAGGACAGGCAUCUCAACUUGGUCAGCAGUGUUACUAAGAAGUUAAUGUGGGAUUCUCUUUGGUUAUGGAAUUUUUACGCUUAUAAAAAAAUAUAGCUAGAAAUACGCUCCUGACUUCUAAAAGUACUUUUGACUGACUUAAACACAAGUAUGUCUUUGCAAAAUUCACCAGCUUGGCCAGGUCUGAAAUCUAUUUUCCUAUGGAAUCUAACAUCAGUGUUCUAUUUAGCAAAUACACAAGUGAAGAACAGUGACAGAUCUUUAGAAGCCCUGAGGGCUGGGGACAGCCUUAGAUGCUGUCCAUGGCUUUGAACUCGCUGAGGGCCUGCACAGGGUUCACAUGCUUCUUCUGAGAUGCCCUCUUAAUCUUGGUCUGUGUCUCAUCCUGUUUCUCUCUCUUAACCAAGGGCUUUUUCUCAGGCGCCUUCAUCUUCCACGACACAGCAGGGAGGUUAAGGGAAGCCAUCCCCUGAGACUUCUGGUAUUUGGUGGAGGCCACAUAGGACGCCUUCACUGUCUGCACCACAGCGUUCAUCAAGUUCUUAGCAGCUUGGAUCAGGGACAUGGCACUGUCCACCUAAGAGGCAGAAAGGUAGGUGAGGAGCACAGGCCUGACCUCCAACCCCACAUGUACCCAGGGGCCUGGGUCUAGGUACCGGAGGGCCUGGACCCUCCGGUCCAGCUGGAGGCUGUCAGUCCCUGGCAGUGGAGUCCCGACUCCUCCUGGACCAGGACAGGGCAGGGCAGCAGCCCUGCUCCUGAUUGGCUCUCCCAGUGACUGGGUGCUCUUAUCCAAAUACCCUGAAAAUGCCUGUGUUUCAGGUCUUUUGAAGAAGGAAGGAGUGAUAUAAACCUAAGGUACCAUUACCUUACCUGCCCCCACCCCUCAACAAGUUUUCAUUCACUCAAGUUGGGGGAGGAUCUGCCAAAAUCUUUUGAGUGAUGGCAGAGCUAUAACCAUAAGCACCGAGAACAGCCACGGACAGCCAUGGUGCAGGGGGAGAUGGCAAUAAGUCAGCCUCCUAGACAGAGACGCCCCCAGUGCUUUCAGUAAUGACCCGGGGAGUCUCCUCUCUCAUUUAGAGAAUACAGAUAAUUGCUCCCCAGAGACAGGGGCAUUUAUGUUGCAGCAGGUAAGCAAAUGGUAUGAGUAUGUCCAACAUACCAAGUCUUCUUUGAAAGGAAAUUCUGUGGGGUUUAGCAGAAGCCACAGGGCUUCAGUGGAGCGAGAUGUCCUCUUUCCCCUGCCCAAGGUGACAAGGGGUCCAGAACUGUGACAUGGUAAACAGACAAGGGAAGAGAUACUACUUGGGAACUCUGAGAGUGGAGGGGGUGUGAGAAAGCCUAUAUGUCAUCUCUGCAAUCUCUGAACAGGCUCAGUUCUUUCUGGGGGAAGAAAAGCGAUGAAGACAAAAAUACUUUUACCUAUGGGGUGGUCAACAAAGGGGAAGAGGCAAGCACUGUAAGAGCUCCUAGCUGUCACCAACCAUGCUAAGCAGAGCUGCAGUUCUGCAGGAAGUAGCCAAUGUGCAGCCCUUGGCCUCUGAGGCGGCCUCUGAGGACCAAGAGGAAACUUCCAGUUUUCCCACAGCACACUUCCUAGCACGUUCCCACUAACCAGCUCUCUUCACAGAUGGAACUUACCCCGGAGACGACCAGCUCCCCACCGAGGUUCUGCACCUCAGCCUUGACUUUGCUGCAGAUGUUGAGCUGGUGGCAGUAGAGGGCGAUGCGCUGCAGGUAGGCCAGCAGGUCCUGCUUGCAGGCUGAGUCUGGGCACUGACGGGAGAGCGGAAUUAGCACCAAGCACUCUGAGCCCGGCCCAAACACACCCACCCCCACAGAUAUUUCUGAAAGGCUCAGUGUGCCACCAGCUCUUCACUCCUUGCUUGAGCAAAGGGCAAGAUAGGAGUUACCCAAUUACCUGGGGCCAUCAUAGCCCUAGGCUACUCUCUGCUGCAGCCCCUGCCCCUAGCCCCUAAAGGUGAAAAAUAGCCUCAGCAAGUGAGAGUCUAGUUCUGGAGAAAAGUGAGAGUGCUGUGAGCUAGGUGAUAACCAUCCAAAUAGCUCUUCUGCUCAGAGGGACUUUAUCUGCUCAGUUAUGAUGCACUCUGUAAACACCUGAUGAAAGGAGGGUCAUUUUAGGCAAAGAUGGAGAACGGGUGAGUCAACCAAAGCAAGAAGAGCACGUGGGAGCUGUGGGGUCCCGACCAGUCACAGGGAAAUGCCCGUCUUGCUGCCAAAGCUCAGGGCCAACUUCGGAGACGUCACCCAAAGAAGGAACAGAGCACCUCUCUCAAGUGUUUAUGCAAAAACUCCCUCCUGUGAGGCUGGGGUGCAGACCAUGCUGGAGAUUUAGAAUUUUAUUCUAAGAAGCUACUGAAGCAUGGCAGAGCCAUACCUCAUUUGCAUUUUAAGGUGAUCAUAUAAGAAGACUGUGUUGGCAACUGUGUGGAGGCUGGAGUGCAGAGGAGAGAGCAGGAAAUCAGUGAGGAGAGGCCACAGUUUUGCAGGCGUGGGCCAUGCAUGCCAGGACUCAGCUGGGGGCUGCUAAGAGGGAAGGACCAGAUAGAUGGUGUUGAGAUUCGUGUGGCUAGUAGAAGCACCAGGGCUGAGUAUCGGUUAUUACAUGAAAGACGGGAGUUGAGGAUACUUCCCAAUCUUUGGCUUGAGCAAUGAGAAACCACUGUCACUUGUCCCGCAACCCCAAUGCAGGCUGAGCAUGUGGAUACUUCAGGGAAAGGAGUGGGAAGGGUUUGUAACUACAGCUGACAAUAUCUUGGAGCAUCAAGGGAAAUAUAUUGUAAACUUUCCAGGAGGUAGGAACCACAUUUUUUUGGACAUAUCGAUACAGAGAAUGAAGGGAUGAAGGCUGGGUGAUUGAGGACAUAGAUGUCUGUCCCCAGUUGGGCACGUCAGCCUUCCAAAAGCACUAGCCAAAAGGGCUCCUGAUUCUCACAUGAAAUACUGCAAUACUUCCACAAGAAGAGGCUCUUAUACACCUAGUUUCAGUGUAUUAUUAGGGCUUGCAGAAUUAGCUCCUGCCCAGAGCUGACAUCCUGAAGAGAUCUGAGAGAUAAUAAACAACAGUAAAGGCUGGUUUUAGCUGUCAACCAAGGGAAGAUUUCAGGACAUACACACCUGCUCCAGAGAUGUGCUGUAAUGCAAACUGGGCCUGCCUUAUAAAACUUGUCAAAGAAGAAACAGGAAUACAGAAAUCCUUAAAACUCUAUGCUGAUGUUAGUCAAGUGGGUUGACAAGUUAAGAACAAUUUUUGAGAUGGGAAAAGUACUGUGUCUCAUGAAAAACACUGUUACCACCGCUGGGCUGCCAGAGUCCCAGGAUGAACUUCAAGGCCCAUGUGGCAAGUCUGUCACUUACAUGGUCUGCGAUGGUACGGCCAAGCUUAUCCAUCCGGGAUCCCGCCUCAGCAAUUUUCUUGGCGGCACUGAUCACAUCUGAUGUGUUUUUGAGCGGUCCUUUACCUCUGAAAAAAGGGAACAAGAAUGAUCAUAACUGAAGCCCUCGUAGGUGGAGAUGAACAGAAAAGUGUGUACAGAGCAGCACGUCCUGCCUGUGUGAGGUGACCUGCAGGGAGGGGGGCAGCCCUCCGUGUAGCAGGUUGGGGCCGGGCACUGCUCACCGGGUAAAGUCCGUCAUCUCCAUCAUGAUCAUGCACAUCUGCUUGGCCAGCACAAUGAUGUCAUUACCACUGUCGUCCCACUUGGACACUUCAGCAUCCAGCUUGCUCUUUUCUUCCUGGAAGCUGGCCACCUGUUCCGCAAUCUUUGCUUUUUGCUCCUGGGGAAGCUGAGCCAUGAUCGCCUAAAAUCAGAAGCCCAGGAAGCUCUUACAUAAAGAGAAUAUGAAGUUCUCACAGUGCAUUAGCCAAGAAUAUUUCCACCAAGCAAUCUAUGACACAGGUAGGCUAAUGCUUUAAUAGGUUUCAUUUUGCCUGAAGAGCCAUUUUGCACCGAAGUUUACAGCAGCCUGAAUUCCCGACCCACUUUCAAGAACAAGUUUUAGUGUGGAGAAAAACAGGGUAUGAGGGGUUGAAGGCCAAUGCAGAAGCUCCAUGAUCACGCCUGCACAAGGACAGAAUCAGCUUACCUUAAUUCUUUAAAAGUUUCAUCCUCUGAAAUGAAGUAAGUCAGGCAGAGAAAGACAAAUAUCAUAUGCUAUCACUCAUAUGUGGAAUCUACUGAUAAUUUAAAAGAUACAAAUGAACUUAUUUACAAAACAAACAGACUUACAGAUAUGGAAAACAAACUUAUGGUUACCAAAGGGGAAACGUGUGGGGGGCAGGGGGAUAAAUCAGGAGCUUGGGAUGAACAUACACACACUAACACAUAUAUAUCUCUUAUGAGAGAUAACCAACAAGGAACUACUGUAUAGCACAGGGAACACUACUCAAUAUUCUGUGAUGACCUAUACGAGAAAAGAAUCUAAAAAAGAAUGUAUAACUGAAUCACUUUGCUGAUACCUGAAACUAACAACAUUGUAAAUCAACUAUACUCCAAUAAAAUUAAAAUAUUAAAAAAAAUAAACUUCAUUUGAACCUUAAAAAAAAAGUUUCAUCCUCUGCCUCCUGCCAUGGGGAGAGGAGAUGAGGGAGGGGCUAAUACAUGGAGUCCUUUCCAUGGCAGGCCCGGUGGCUGUAAUACAUCUCCAACUUUUCAAGGUGACCCACAAGUAGUUUUAGAAUGUGAAUUUUUUUUUUUUUUUUUUUGCGGUACGCGGGCCUCUCACUGUUGUGGCCUCUCCCGUUGCGGAGCACAGGCUCCGGACACACAGGCUAAGUGGCCACGGCUCACGGGCCCAGCCGCUCUGCGGCAUGUGGGAUCUUCCCGGACCGGGGUACCAACCGGCGUCCCCUGCAUCGGCAGGCGGACUCUCAACCACUGCACCACCAGGGAAGCCGUAGAAUGUUAAUAUUAAAGAAGGCAAGCAGGCAGGCAGAAGAGAACCUGCUGCAGAGUAUGCUUUUUAGGUACUUGAGACGGCAUUUAAACCUUAUCACCGCAGCACCUGGAGGCCUGUUGCCCACCUCAAGGCACAGACUCAGGGCCUUGGGCUCCUCUCCACUCAGCUUCCCAAAAUGCUUAGGACCGAGUGGGGCUUAAAGCAGGGAUGUACCCGCUGUUCAAAAUAUCUUCUAAGGGGUGAAAAAAACUCCUUAGUAAUAUUUCUUGGCACCCUCCCAAAAACAUAAAUGCAGUUAAUUGAAGAUUUAAUGACUUAAAUGAAUGCAAUGGCUCUGAUUUUCUUGAAUGUACCACUGUUAUUUUUUUUAACCCAUGAAUAAUUAAAUAGUUCAUGCCCAUGGUAUCAUUGAGAUAGGCAAAGACAGCAAUCUUUUUUGAAUUUCACUGUCCUAUUAACAAACAUUGCAUUGACUAGAUCCUAGGGCUUUCCUGACUCAGGGCUCUUCACAAACCAACGCUUCAGGGCACAGCUGAGAAGAUGUUUUAGAUGAACCUACAAUUGACUAGCAGGUGCCACAACUUAGGAUAACUUCGGUCCUACUGCCAGAGAAAACGAGAGGAAAAAUGGUGUUCUCAAUAAUGAGAGUGUUUUCCUGGAAAAGAAAAAGCCAAGAACAGAGAGGGACAGGGAGGGUCUGCAGGACAAGUUAAACUUGGUCCUUACCCGGGCACUCUGGCCAGCUAUCAGCUGAUCGUCUUCUGUCUGGACGCUUGUCCUGCUUCUGACAUCGAAGUCUUCCGUCUCGAAGUCCGAGUCAUCCAGCUCCUCAGGGGUCUGCCACCGAGACAGAAAUCACAAGUCAAACACAACCCUAGGCCUCCAGCUUCCCUAGGCCUCUGGGCCCACAGCCUGAUGUACAGACAUCCAGAAUUUUCUGCAGUAUUUCAAACAGUCGUGAGGAAUAAAGUUAAAAUUGCUCAAUAUUUGUCUGAGACCCUGCUUUAGCUCAUGCACGUGCCAGGCAGCCCAUUCAACAAACAGCAAGCAAAGGCACCACACCAGCACUUCCCAAAGGACACAGGUCCUUUAUGGGGUUGAGGGUUUCAGUUUCUACCAAUGAGUCAACACUCUUUGCUUGACAAAGGUUUUCACUUCUUAACGUACUUCUCCAACACCUGCAUCUUAAGACAAAGGUGAGAGUUGUCCUGGGUGGAAAAGGUACUGUAUUAAAAAUAGCAGUUUCAUACAACAUUAAACAGAUUCUUAUAACUUUCCCAUUUUAUGACAAAAAGAAAAUUAAAUGAAUUAACUAAUACUGGGACUUCUCUUAGGGUACCAAAGGCUGAUUUGAGAGGUAAAAAUAGGCAAUGUAUUUUUAUGUACUUACUUUUAUUAAAGAGAGAAUAUGGCAGAUAAGGUGUGAAUAAAUACCAAAGGGACCGAUUACUGGUCCUACCUCUUUGCUUUAAUUAUAAAAUAAAAUUCUUAUUUUGUACACUCUCCAGCCUCUCAUGAUUAGCUGCUGACUUGAAACAUGAUGUCAUCGUCUAGAAGUUAUCAGCAACAGGGCAGCAGGCAAACA